rnacentral:rRNA from 1 species
GACGAACGCUGGCGGCGUGCUUAACACAUGCAAGUCGAACGGGGAAGCGCUUUCCUUUGUGGUUGGUGUGGAUGAGUGGCGAACGGGUGAGUAACACGUGAGUAACCUUCCCCCUACUUCUGGAUAACCGCAUGAAAUUGUUGCGAAUACGGGAUAUUCUGCGCCUGCUUCAUGGUGGGUGUGGUAAGGUUUGUGCCUUUGGAUGGUUUCGGUGGGGGGUGGGCUCGCGGCCUAUCAGCUUGUUGGUUGGGUGAUGGCGUACCAGGGCGGUGACGGGUACACCGAGUGAGGGGGUGGACGGUCACACUGGAGCUGGGACACGGACCAGAGUCCUAAGGCAGGCAGCAGUGGCGAAUAUUGCGCAAUGGGCGCGAGCAUGAUGCAGCGAGGCCGCGUGAGGGAUGGAGGCGUUCGGGUUGUGAACCUCUUUUGAGAGUGAAGCAGGCCUGUUACUUGUGGGUGGGUUGACGGUAGAUGGAUAAGAAGCGCCGGCUAACUACGUG